GUCGAUUACCAGCUCCACCUGCAGGCUGGCGCCCGCCCGGUCUCCUAGCGGCUGCCCCCGGCUCUGCCCCAGGGGCUCUUGCAGGGCCGGCACUCUCUGCGCCUAGCACGGAAAACAUGGGCUCUACAGAGACUGAUAUUUCUUCAUUUCCCAAGACAUCAUGCUGGUCCACUGUGAUGCUGAUGGUAUGCUGCUGAUUUGGACAUGGGCAUCGCGCCUCCCCAGCAGGUAGAAGAGAAGAAGAGCAGGGUUCCAGGGAGGCGCCGGGCCUGGCUGCGGUUUGGCUCCAGGUGGGCGAGCGCGGCCUCAACUUGGAACAGCGCCUCCUCUGGUCCCCGGGCGGCGGUUCUGGAGACGAUGCUUCUGAAGGCGUGGAAAUGGGGGUCCGCGUUUCAAUCCCCUAGGUCGGGAGGCCGCCCUCCCUGCUCGCGAGUCCCAGCUGCCCGCACAGCGGCUGGUCCUGCUUCUGCUGCACCGGCAGCUGCUCGCGUGGAGCACUGCCUGCCCCCGCAUCCUCUCCUG